AAUAAAUAAAUAGUGGAAAUGUAUAAUUUUCGUCUGAUCUGCCUUGGGCUCCACUUUUCAUUUUAUUAUAAUCAGAACCGCGUGACCGUGUCAACCUGUAGUACAAAAGUUGGUCUUCUUUGCGAAAGCUAAGCUCAAUUAUAUUUUUCUCCGAUCUAGUUUGUAGUAAAGUACUGUUAACUAUUUUCUGAUAACUAUUUUCGGUGUGCAUCUUCACCGAGGAGGAGAGUCUUCGAUCUGUCAUCUCUGAGUGUAUCUUAAUAUACAAAAAAGCUAGCUAAGAAAACUUUAAUUUUCCCAUUGACAUUUUUCUUUUACUUGUGGAUUUUGCAGCUGGUUAUAGCAAGAGAAAUGGCUUCUUCCUCUCUUUCUCUUGAAGAAAAGUAUGACGUGUUUCUCAGUUUCAGAGGUGAGGACACGCGCAAUACAUUCGCUAGCUAUCUUUACGCAGCUUUAUCAGCAAAGCAGAUCUUAACUUUCAUGGAUCACGAGCUUGAGAGAGGGGAUGAAAUUUCACCCACACUUAGCAACGCCAUCGAAGAAUCUAAGAUUUCGGUAAUCAUUUUCUCGGAAAACUAUGCUUCGUCCACAUGGUGUUUGGAUGAACUUGUGCAUAUACUUGAAUGCAAGAAAACAAGAGGGCAGAUUGUUAUGCCAAUCUUCUACGGCGUAGAUCCAUCGGUUGUACGAAAACAGAGAGGGAGCUAUGGAGCUUCAUUUGCUGAACUUGAAGAACGUUUCAAAGAUAGAAUGGAGAAGGUGCACCAGUGGAAGGCUGCGUUGACAGAAGCAUCUAAUCUAUGCGGGUUGGAUUCGAAGGAUUUCAGGCCCGAAAACAAAUUAGUUCAAAAAAUUGUUGAAGACGUUUCAUUAAAAUUGCCUAAAUAUCUAUCGAUGGAUGAGCAUUUCAAGGGACGCUUUAUUGGAAUUGAAAAACAUAUCGAAAAAAUUGAAUUGCUAUUAUCCAUUGGCACAAAAGAUAUUCGCAUUAUAGGCAUCUGGGGAAUGGCAGGUAUUGGCAAGACAACACUUGCUAGUGCCAUAUUUCAAAGAUUUUCAUAUUUUCAAUUUGAAAGUUACUGCUUUCUUUGGAAUGUUAGGGAAGAAUAUUUAAGACAUGGACCAGAUCAUUUGAGAAAGAAACUUCUGUCUGAGUUAUUAAGUGAUGAAUCUAUUCUAAGGAUGGAUACCCCAUUUGUAGCAUCAUCUUUUAUUCUUAAAAAACUCAUCCGUAAAAAGGUCCUUAUUGUUCUAGAUGAUGUGGAUAAUCCAAUCAAAUUAGAAGCCUUAGUAGAGGGAUAUGAUCACUUUGCACCUGGGAGUAGAAUCAUUAUCACAACUAGAAACAGGCAAGUGCUAACUGCUAAAGAAGCUUGUCAUACUUACAAGCUUGAAGGGUUGAAUGAGAUUGAAUCUUUAGAGCUGUUCAAUUUUUAUGCUUUUGGAAAAAGUUCUCCUUCAGAAGAUUAUGAAAAGCUGGUAAGCCAUGUGAUAUGCUACGCUGAUGGAAAUCCAUUGGCUCUUAGAGUCUUGGGUUCUUCCCUUCGCUCUAAAAGCACAGAUGUAUGGGAAAGUGCAUUAAGUAAAUUGAAAACAAUUCCCCACAAGGACAUUCUAAAUGUGCUGAGAAUCAGUUAUGAGGGACUAGAUAGAGGGGAGCAAAAUCUGUUUCUUGAUAUUGCAUGUCUGAUUGAUCAGCCUUUUACUAGAGAUGAUGUAGAACACAUGUUAGAUGCGGGUGGCUCCUUUAAAAUAGAAUUGACUGUUCUUAUUGAUAAGUCUUUAAUUGAAAGUCAUAAAUACAACAAGCUAUGGAUGCAUGAUUUGUUGCGGCAGAUGGGUAAGACAAUUGUCUGUGAUGAACACGAAGAACCUGGCAAACGUAGUCGAUUGUGGGAUGUUAAAGAUGUUUGCCAUGUCUUGGAAAGAAAUACAGGAACUGAAGCGGUUGAAGGCAUCUCAUUCAACAUGUCUGAAAUUCAUAAAGACAUAAAAUUGUGCCAUGCAACCUUCUCAGAGAUGUAUAAUCUACGAAUUCUCAAAAUUUGUUCUGACAAUAAUAAGUUCAAACUGUACCUCCCCCAAGGUCUUGGUUCUUAUCUUUCUCAUAAGUUAACAUAUCUUCAAUGGGAUUUAUAUCCUUUAAAAUCUUUGCCAUCAAAAUUUUCUCCUGAAAAUCUUGUUGAACUGGUACUACGUGGCAGCCAUGUUCGAAAACUUUGGGACAAUCAUGAAGUUAAGUCUCUUCCAGUGUUAAGAAGGAUCGAUCUCAGUUAUUCCAAGUUCCUUCUUCAACUACCAGAUCUGUCACAGUCUUCAGAUCUGGAAAGUAUAAAUCUUCAAUGGUGUACAAGUUUGGUUCAGGUUCUUUCAUCUCUUCAAAAUCUUGAAAAGCUUACUUAUCUAAAUCUAAGAGGCUGCUCCAAACUCAGAGAUCUUGAAGAUAUAUCAAAGAGAACAGAGGGAUACUUGGAUGUUGCAAGGCUAGGAGGCGUUAAGAAUCUUUGGAAGUAUUUCACAUAUCUCAAAAGUUGCAUCCAAAGUUUUACAGGCAAUUUAUGUCUCUACUCAUCUCAAGCUCACAUUUCUCAAAAGUUUGCACCCAAUAUAAGAUAUUUAGAUUUGAGUUGGACAGCAAUAGAAACAGUACCCCCAUCAAUUUGCCAUCUGUCGGGUCUUAAAAAAUUACAUUUGAGUUGGUGCACAAGACUUAAAAGUCUUCCAACUAGCAUUUGUCAUUUGAAAUCUCUUGAAUCAUUAUAUAUACUUGGUUGUGAGAAACUGAAAACGUUUCCAGAAAUCUUGGAGCCCAUGGAACACUUGAGAACUCUUCGGUUAUCUCUCUCGGGGAUUAAAGAGUUGCCAGAAUCUGUUGAAAAUCUAGUAUCCCUCGAUUAUUUAUCUAUAGCAGGUUGCAAGGAUCUUGAGUUUCUCCCCAACAGUCUAUGUAAUUUAAGGAACCUUGAGAGCAUAUGGGUUCGCUUCUGUUCAAAAAUUCAAAAAUUGCCUUCCCUUCCACCGUCUUUGCGCCAAUUGCUGGUGGAUAAUUGUGAGAGAUUGAAAUCUUUACCGGAGCUUCCAUCGCUGUGUUUUGGUUUGUCUGCAGUUGGCUGCACAUCACUGGAGAACAUUUCAAAAUGGAGGGCUCCACUAUUACCCCAUCAGGCCGAUUACAGUUGGUAUUCUGUUCGUUAUAUUGACUUUUACGGAUGUGAAAAAUUGGAUCAGAAUACACACAACACCAUGAUAGCUAAUCGUGCAAUAAUUUAUAUUCUGGCUAGUAUAAAAUCUGGAUGGGGCGUACUUUCUCACAGUUUUUUAUACCCGGGAGAUGAAAUUCCGGACUGGUUCACCCAUCAAACUUGUGGGACUUCAAUCAAUAAUAUUAUGCUUCCUCCAUAUUGGAAUGACGGUGACUUCUUGGCUUUAGCUUUCUGUAUUGUUUUUCAUUGGAAUAAAAUUGACGGAAAUGAAAAGUUAGAUACUAGUUGUAAACUGAAUUUCAAAACCAUCGAUGAUGGUAGUCUUUACGAACAUCAUGAUUAUAUUUCGUCCGACAAGUAUAACAAGUUCAGUUCAGAUCACGUGUUCAUUUGGCAUGUACAAAGACGGUCUUUGGAAUCUAGCAAAGAAAUGAAUGGACUAGAUUGGCCCUCUACUUGUAGUACUGAGGCCUCUUUCCAUGUCUGUCCUGUUUAUCCAUUUUUAGGCAAUGUCAACAACAAUGAAAGUGAGUAUGGCGAGAUUAAGAAGUUUGGGGUUCGGUUUGUAUACAAACAAGACAUGGAGAGAUGUGAUGCAGAAACCGAAAGAAAGAAUAAGAGAAACUUCAAUGAAUGUUGUGAAUCAAGUGGAAGUGAAGCUGUUGGCUCUCUUGAGGUAGAAGACGAUGGUGAAUCACAUUCUAAGAAACUUAAGCUUAUGUGACAGUCUUGAAAAUGCAGAGCAAUUGAAUAUUGGGGAACCGAAAAAACAGAACAAUGCCAUGAUACAACUUCAGGACUUGCUUUUACAACAUGCAUUUUGUAGUAUUUUAGUGGCAAGUUAUUAACUAAUAAGUUAAUAAAUGUAAGGUAAUUUUUAAAGGAAAAUUUUGUGAUACUCGCCGAGGGAAAAUAAAAAUAUUUUGUUAUGAAAAGUAUUUUGAUGGAUUUUUCAUGUAUGUAUAGUGGUGAAUUUUGUAGUGUCUUUUUUAGUUUCAGGCUUUGAAGAAUAUGGGCGUGAGCUAUGCAGACACUACUGCGCGUAGCUUCAAAUGAAUGCUGUUUUGAGAAGUUCUCUUUUCCUAUUUUGACAUUGGAUUACUUGCUUUUGUGUACCAAUAUGAAUUUCUUCAAAUGAUCUACUUUAACCGACUUUACCUUGUGGCUGAUUUCAAUCGAUCUAGAACCACCCAAUUUUUUUUUACUUUAUUUUACAGCCACAUGUUUUUAACUUUGAGCCUAAGCAAUUCUAGAUUAUUCUGGAUAUUCAAUUUUAUAUUACCUCCUCCGGUUAUAAAGAUGUUUAUAGGAUAUGCUUCACCAUUAAUUUUAUCAAUCCUAUAUGUGCAAUCCGCAAAAGCUAAUAGAUGUUUCGAGCUAGCAAAUUGAUUGCGGGCUUCCCAGUUUCACAGGUGAGGACACCGACAAUCAAUUUGCGAGCUAUAUUUAUGGAGCUUCUAUCUGCUUAUAAAAUCUCAACUUUCAUUGAUCAUCAACUUAGAGAAAGGUGAUGAAAUUUCAACCACACUUGGCAAAGCAAUCAAGGAAUGCAAAAUCUUGACUACACCCAACACCAUAUAUACUCGCUAGCUGAUCGUGCAGUAAUUAAAAUUCUGUCUCAUAUAAAAUUUGGAACAACUAUAUUUAUGGGCCAAAUUUUCCUGAUUUUCUCUGUGCAGGAGAUGCAAUCAAUAUUAUGAUUGUAUAGCCUGAUUUGGUACUAGUUUGCUUACUGGGAUUCAACAAAGAGGUUUUUUUUUUUUUUUUUUCUUUUUCUUUUUCGGGGGCUUCUGUCAUUUUUCCGUAAAAUAUACAUAAGUAAGCAGACUCCACCAAAUCCUUGAGGUUAAUUACUAGCUAAUUACAAUGAUGUAUGAACUCUCCAAGUGCUUUUCUAUACAUACAAUGCAAAUAGGAGAGGCAAGAAGAAUAAUUAAAGAAGAUAAUAUUAAUUUGGAGUUAAUAAUUGAGACUUUAAAAAAAUUUAUAAGUAAAGCCAUAUCAUAGGACUGUAAAAUAUAAAUUUCUAAUAGACUCGCACGCCCUGAAGACUGCAGUGAGAGAGUGCAAUUAACCAUGCGCGACCACUUUAUCAUUUCUCUAAGAAUUCCUCAAUUGAAAAGAUCUUUUGCUUUUCACCCAAAAUAAAAUAAAAAAAUAAAAAAAUUGUGUUUUGCAUCCGUAUUUAUCAACCAUAUAUACUCAUGCUACGACAAUAAGACACAUUUUUUAAAUUAAAAGAACCAAAAAUAAAAAAAUAUAAAAAAAUUAAAAAAAAAAAAGGAAAAGAGAGAAAAUUAUUCAUUUUGACUAAAUAGCCUAGAGGGGAUCCCAACAUAUCAAACCCCAACGGUAUAAAU